AUGCUGAUAAGAACUAAUUUCCUCUAUUGCAGAUGAGGCUGAAGGAGGUUGGUCAGCUUGUGAGGUGGUUGGUGGAUUCUGCAAACCUCCUGGAACAUGUGGCGUGAGGGGACACCUGAAUGCUGCCUGUCCUAACGGAUUAUUUUGCUGUUUUUAUGCCUAACGAAGGACAAUAGAACAACGGCAUCAAUAAAUAACAACCUGACCUGCA